CCUACGGGAUGCACCAGUGGGGAAUCUUGGACAAUGGGCGAAAGCCCGAUCCAGCAAUAUCGCGUGAGUGAAGAAGGCCUUAGGGUUGUAAAGCUCUUUCACCGGUGAAGAUAAUGACGGUAACCGGAGAAGAAGCCCCGGCUAACUUCGUGCCAGCAGCCGCGGUAAUACGAAGGGGGCUAGCGUUGUUCGGAAUUACUGGGCGUAAAGCGCGCGUAGGCGGAUAGAUAAGUCAGAGGUGAAAUCCCGGGGCUCAACCCCGGAAUUGCCUUUGAUACUGUUUAUCUCGAGUACAGAAGAGGUAAGUGGAAUUCCGAGUGUAGAGGUGAAAUUCGUAGAUAUUCGGAGGAACACCAGUGGCGAAGGCGGCUUACUGGUCUGCAACUGACGCUGAGGCGCGAAAGUGUGGGGAGCAAACAGGAUUAGAUACCCGCGUAGUC
rnacentral:rRNA from 1 species